rnacentral:rRNA from 1 species
GACGAACGCUGGCGGCGUGCCUAACACAUGCAAGUCGAGCGGAGGUACUGGAGGAGUAAUCUGAGAGUACUUGAGCGGCGGACGGGUGAGUAACACGUAGGCAACCUGCCUAUAAGACUGGGAUAACUAUCGGAAACGAUAGCUAAGACCGGAUAACUGAUUUUCUCGCAUGAGAGAAUUAUGAAACACGGAGCAAUCUGUGGCUUAUAGAUGGGCCUGCGGCGCAUUAGCUAGUUGGUAGGGUAACGGCCUACCAAGGCGACGAUGCGUAGCCGACCUGAGAGGGUGAACGGCCACACUGGGACUGAGACACGGCCCAGACUCCUACGGGUGGCAG